rnacentral:lncRNA from 1 species
UUCAAUAAUGUCUUCCUUGCCUGUUUGACUUCAGUAAUAUGGAACUUCAAUUUGUGCAGAUAACUAGAAGUGGCCGCAUGAUGUACCUCUCACCAAUGAGAUGCCUGUCAAGGGUAUACGUGGGUCUUUUGAGAUCUUAUUCACUGAUUUGAAGAGUUCAUGCAUGGAGCCAGUAGGCGGUACACAUGGGUAAAAACUGGCUGCGGCUAAACAGUUUCAGGGUCAUAUAGCUGUGAGAAUUGCGGUCAUGUACGUGAAGCUUUAUACCUAAGUGUCAGCACAUCAUUAGACAGAAAAGAAAGUUAUAUCACAAGGAAAAGAUUAAGCCCUGGUCACAUCCUGCAUCUUCUUCAGUAAACACUCUGGUUGGAUGACUUGAUGAAAGCCAACAAUCUUUUGAUUUCUCUCUUCACCUAUAUCAGCAGACCCAAAUACAGUUAAUAAAUGGUUAAAGGUUGAUAACCAUCACACCCAUUCCAACAACAUCCAUCCAAAUGGAAGAUGCCUUGAUUGCAACAGUAUCUGGGGAAUAAUGCUACGGGUGACUGAUAAACCCUGUUUUUGAUGAUGUUGAUGUGGAAUCUUUAUUUUAUUUUAUUAGCAUAUAUAAAAACCCAGUUGACAAAAUUUAUGAAAACUUCACACCUCCCUGGCCUAAGAUUUUUCCCUUGGUCUUAUUAAAUUUGAAAGCCACCUGCUUUAGGCUUCAUAAACUUUCACCUUUUAAAAUAACCACAGGCCAUUCUAUGUCCUUAGCUUUCUCUGCUACUGACCCUCAGUUA